CCAUCGCUGAGGUUUCCUUUAUCAAAAGUGUGCCUGGCAAGCCCUUGGAAACUUCGGAUCCAAUUUGUUACAAACUUUGAGGGAGGAGACGGAGGGGGAAGCACCUUUUGGUGCGAAAUAAGAAAAAAAAAACAACAAAGUGUAUUUUUGACCCGCUGGGGUUUUUCCCCCAGAGGUGAUGGUCACGGCAGCGGUGCUGGGACCGGGGGGGUGCAGGUGUGGGGCCGCCUCCUCCCUCCUUCCCUGCUCCUAGCUGGCGCCUCGUUAUCUCAGGGAGGAUCCCGAGGUGCCCCCUUCUCCUCCAUCCCCUGGCGUUUUUGGGGCCGUGCCCCCACGCCGCUCGGGCGCUGCGGGAAGCGUCCGUCCGUCCGUCCCUCUGGCUUUAGGGCAUGGCUUCGUGGUGCAGGGGAACGCCUGCGGGGCAGGCGCCGGCACCGCCGCCCCUCUCCUCCCCGGCUUAUUUAUUGGUUCCCCUAUUUGUAUUUAUUUAUUUAUCUAUUUAUUUAUUUAUUUGACGUUUAUUUAUUGAUUUGUAUUUAUCGACGGCUGGAACGCGGGGCGGGGGGGGUCAGCAGGGGUGGCUGGGUCCCCCCUUAUAUCCUCCCCCCUUCCCCAUGGAUUUCGGGAGCGCCGAUGGGGAGGGUUGCUCGCGGGCACCUGCUCCCAUCCUGUCCCCUUUUGGGAGGGAAGGGAGAACUGGGGAAAAGGAAGGGGGACGACGCAGAUGCCUGCAGGGAGGACGUCCCGUGCCCGUCCUUUCCCCGCAGAAGCCCCCUUGUGCCCCCUCCCCAGGCGCUGCGCUCCCUCCCGUGCCCGUCCCUAUUUAUCGGCCCGGCCUCCUGGUGUCUUUCUGUUUGGCUCGCGCUGAAUUUGCUGUUGCCAAUUUCCGGAGAUGGUGAUCGGAGCGAGGACGCGUGGGUGUCGCUACGGAGGAAAGAGAAAAAUCAGGUAUUCUGCUGCCGUCUGGGGAAAAUCGGAAGGAAGAGGAGACGAAAGCUGGUUUUGCAGAGUGCCUUAAACACAAAUGACUUUACCGAGUAG
rnacentral:lncRNA from 1 species